rnacentral:rRNA from 1 species
AUUGAAUGCUGGCGGCAUGCCUUACACAUGCAAGUCGAACGGUAACAGGUUAAGCUGACGAGUGGCGAACGGGUGAGUAAUGUAUCGGAACGUGCCCAGUCGUGGGGGAUAACUGCUCGAAAGAGCAGCUAAUACCGCAUACGACCUGAGGGUGAAAGCGGGGGAUCGCAAGACCUCGCGCGAUUGGAGCGGCCGAUAUCAGAUUAGGUAGUUGGUGGGGUAAAGGCCUACCAAGCCUACGAUCUGUAGCUGGUCUGAGAGGACGACCAGCCACACUGGGACUGAGACACGGCGCAGACUCCUACGGGAGUCAGCAGUGGGGAAUUUUGGACAAUGGACGCAAGUCUGAUCCAGCCAUGCCGCGUGCGGGAAGAAGGCCUUCGGGUUGUAAACCGCUUUUGUCAGGGAAGAAAAGGUUCUGGUCAAUACCUGGGACUCAUGACGGUACCUGAAGAAUAAGCACCGGCUAACUACGUGCCAGCAGCCGCCGUAAGAC